CUCAAUUAAGUCGACAGUGUCAAGAGACUAGAAAGUGCAACAGCAUAUACACUACAUAGUAACCAUGAAGACUGAGAUACUGUUAGCUGCGUUGAUUGUCUGUGUAGUCACAGGUACACAAGGGUGUGGAGGGCCGUUCUGUGUAUACAGCCAGGGCCGGUGUGUGUGCAACUUCAAACGAAUGGUUGCCGGAGAGUUGCCAACAACACCAAAAUUGCAUCAAAACAAAAUGUUUAAACAACUGACAGGUCCUAAACUUGUGUCAAAACGGCAAGACGAUGACCGACUUCCAAAAUCCGGAUAUUAGCUCUUGGACGUACCUUCUAUUUCCCGUUAAUCUCUUACAACUUCCACAGCAACAGGAAUCUUUCGAUACUGUAAAUUUCGACCUGUAUCGCAUUUGAAACAUUUAAGUGAUUUCGACGUAUAAAAUACUGAUCAUAACAAAUUAUAUAUACAUGUAUUAUGUUGUUUAUUUUGGUGAAAGCAAUACAAACUAAUGCAACCAACGUAUGGAUUUCUUUGUUUAUGCGAUGUUAUAGAUGUGAACUAAAUGUCCGUAACAUUAUAUAAAAAACUAAACAUUUAU